rnacentral:rRNA from 1 species
ACUCCUGCGGGAGGCAGCAGUGAGGAAUAUUGGACAAUGGGUGGAAGCCUGAUCCAGCCAUCCCGCGUGCAGGAAGACGGCCCUAUGGGUUGUAAACUGCUUUUAUCUGGGGAUAAACCUACUUACGUGUAAGUAGCUGAAGGUACCAGAAGAAUAAGCACCGGCUAACUCCGUGCCAGCAGCCGCGGUAAUACGGAGGGUGCAAGCGUUAUCCGGAUUUAUUGGGUUUAAAGGGUCCGUAGGCGGACUGAUAAGUCAGUGGUGAAAUCCGACAGCUUAACUGUCGAACUGCCAUUGAUACUGUUAGUCUUGAGUAAGGUUGAAGUGGCUGGAAUAAGUAGUGUAGCGGUGAAAUGCAUAGAUAUUACUUAGAACACCAAUUGCGAAGGCAGGUCACUAAGUCUUAACUGACGCUGAUGGACGAAAGCGUGGGGAGCGAACAGGAUUAGAAACCCCUGUAGUCCCAUG